rnacentral:misc_RNA from 1 species
GAUGAAGAACGCAGCGAAAUGCGAUACGUAAUGUGAAUUGCAGAAUUCAGUGAAUCAUCGAAUCUUUGAACGCACAUUGCGCCCUCUGGUAUUCCGGAGGGCAUGCCUGUUCGAGCGUCAUUAUAACCACUCAAGCUCUCGCUUGGUAUUGGGGUUCGCGGUUCCGCGGCCCCUAAAAUCAGUGGCGGUGCCUGUCGGCUCUACGCGUAGUAAUACUCCUCGCGAUUGAGUCCGGUAGGUCUACUUGCCAGCAACCCCCAAUUUUUACAGGUUGACCUCGGAUCAGGUAGGGAUACCCGCUGAACUUAAGCAUAUCAAUAAGCGGAGGA